AUUGAACGCUGGCGGCAUGCUUUACACAUGCAAGUCGAACGGUAACAGGCCUUCGGGUGCUGACGAGUGGCGAACGGGUGAGUAAUGCAUCGGAACGUACCCAGAGGUGGGGAUAACUCAGCGAAAGCUGUGCUAAUACCGCAUGUGAUCUGAGGAUGAAAGCGGGGGACCGAGCAGCAAUGUUUGGCCUCGCGCCUUUGGAGCGGCCGAUUUCGGAUUAGCUAGUUGGUGGGGUAAAGGCCUACCAAGGCGACGAUCCGUAGCUGGUCUGAGAGGACGACCAGCAACACUGGGACUGAGACACGGCCCAGACUCCUACGGGAGGCAGCAGUGGGGAAUUUUGGACAAUGGGCGCAAGCCUGAUCCAGCAAUGCCGCGUGCGGGAAGAAGGCCUUCGGGUUGUAAACCGCUUUUGGCAGGAACGAAACGGUGUCCGCUAAUACCGGGCGCUAAUGACGGUACCUGCAGAAUAAGCACCGGCUAACUACGUG
rnacentral:rRNA from 1 species